UACGUAGGGUCCGAGCGUUGUCCGGAAUUAUUGGGCGUAAAGAGCUUGUAGGCGGUUUGUCGCGUCUGCUGUGAAAAUCCGGGGCUCAACCCCGGACUUGCAGUGGGUACGGGCAGACUAGAGUGUGGUAGGGGAGACUGGAAUUCCUGGUGUAGCGGUGAAAUGCGCAGAUAUCAGGAGGAACACCGAUGGCGAAGGCAGGUCUCUGGGCCACUACUGACGCUGAGAAGCGAAAGCAUGGGGAGCGAACAGGAUUAGAUACCCGCGUA
rnacentral:rRNA from 1 species